UAUAGAUAUAGGCUUAUCUACGUCAGAUGUCCAGAUAUUAUAUGUUAAUGAGAACAUGACAAAGCUGCAGACACUUCCAUCACACAGUUCCUUUUUAAAUAUGGAACACUUGAGGGGACUUUUGUGGUCGCUGUUAACAGACUUUGCAUUGCUAUACUCACUAAUAGAGAUGUGUGCAGUAUUUGUCUCAUUUGUUUUAUUCAUGUUUCUGUUUUAUAUCAUCCAUUCAGAUGGCGCAAUACAGAAAGACCCCCAACAAAGCAAAAACUGACUCAAAACGAAAGGCAGGUGGGAGCCAAUAUUGGCUCCAAGCCUACCUUUCAGAUCAAAGCUACCGGGCCUAUGGGUGCAGGCUUUGGGCCUACAUACCUGGGCCUCGCAGGGCCUGCAGACAAUUGCAGAGUAAGGAGCGCUCCUUAUUCAGCAAUUGGCUGGGCCUUGCAGGGCCUUGCAGCCGUUUGCCGAGUGAGGAUUGCUCCUUACUCAGCACUCAACUGUAAGUCCUGCGAGACCCGGGUGCCUAGGCCCAAAGCCUGCACCUGUAGGCCUGGGUACCUCGGCCUAUGGGUGCAGGUCUGGCGGGGGGAGGUUGUGGGUGGCUGGGUCAUCCUGUGCCUUCUCCCCUCCCUUUGCCUGGCUCCUUACCAGGCAUUUGAGCGGCACUGGCUGGUGCUGUGGCCUUGGCCAGCGCCUCCCCUCCCCCCCCCCCCCCCCCGUGAAAAAAAGAAAAGAAAAACAAAUGUCUGACCUCCCGAUUUUGGGAGGUCAGAUGAAAACGGACCAGAGCCUCGAUGAAUGCCAAGAUACGAAACAGAACAAGACCAUGGCUUUGACUACACUGGAUUGUAUAAAUGGAGGUAUUUUCUAUAUUUCUUACAAAGAAGACAAAUCUUGCUUCUCUCCUAGAUCCUGUAGAUUAUUACGGCCAUCUCUCUUGAUAAUAUAAACUUGAACUAGAUCAACAGCAAUACUGAAGAGGGAAGAUGAUGUGGCAUGUUGUUCUUUUAAGGCUCAGCUGGAUUCCAGAUGCGCAGAAGAUGCGCAUGCAUUAAAUGUGUGUGUUCCUUUUGCCAAGAACCGUUGCUAUUCUGGAGAGAUCUCAAUGCAGGCAAAGAACAUUCCCUUUCUUGGUCAUAUGGGGACCAGGAGCAAAGGCAGAGUCCAACAACAGAGUUCUGCCUGAAACCAGUUGUAAGUACUUGGCCUAAACUUUAAGGCUUCCUUCUCUUGAAGAGACCUCUACUCUUGAGGAGCUGUAUUAGUUUUUAGCAGCUGGUGACACAGCAUGGUAGUACAGGCUAUAGAUAUUAUAAUUAAAUAAAACCAUUUAAUCUGUUUUAAGAUAUUUAUUUUCAUAGCAUUGGCAUUAUGUUGGAGAUACACACAAAUACAUUUAUAUUUUUAUUAAUAACGCUUAUUUGAGGGAAGAUAGCUAACUACAUCCCUCUAAUUUAUUUUAUCUGAUAUGUGGACUGAUGCUGAACAAAAUGGGAAACAUAUAUCAUCAUGAGCAUGCACCAACAUCAAACACUCUCUUUCUCUCAUUGGACACACACAUAUGUUCUAUCAGUUUGCCUAUGCAGAAAAGAGCAAAAAAACUCCCACUGUGGCUAUAUUCCUUUACCAGUUACAGUCAAACAGUCAAAUUUCUCUUUCAAUGCAUUCUUCCUCUUUUCCAUUUGUUUGAGACUCUAAUCAGUUGCUGAUUUCACAACUUUUGAUGCUUCCCAGAACAAUGAGAUCUUUGCAAAACAAAUCUCACAUAAUUAUAUGGCAGCAUCUUCAAAGAUUAAUGAAUAAAUUUGUUUGCAGUGAUUAUUUUUAAGAAAUCAAAUCUAAUUGGUCACAAAACUUGUUAGGGCUAGGACAUGGAAAGCUAUCUAGAACAAGCCAGAAGUCACAAACUGGAAAUCAGGUUUAGAGAGAAAUCAAGAUCAAAAGUCAAACAAGGUAACAGGGUCCAAUUGCAAGAUUAGGAAAACACAUAAGAUACACCAGAGCGCAGGAAACCUUUGUUCUUCUAACAAAGUUAUAUUGAAACAGAAAGCUGUUUCAUAUCUCUGCCUAUUCAGGUGGAUCUGCUGAUCAGGCUGGGCAAAGUCCACCUGGAAGGUUAUGUGGUCAUCUUGUGUGCUGCUGGACUGCCAUCCCUAGUAAUUGUUAUUGUAAUUACAAUUGUAAUAACUACAAUUGUGAUAACUAGUGAUUCAGGGAUCAUGGGGGUUGUUGUUUAACAACAGCUAGGUGGCAAUGAUUUACCUACCCUUGCUGUAAUGAUUUUUCCUAUAAGGAACUGUGUUGUGUUAAUGUGAUUUCAGCGUCUCUCUCUCUCUCAAAUAACCUCUUUUAGAGAAGUUUCUGGAAUCAACUUUCCAGUGUUAGGUAAAGCCAAAAAAAAUGCCAGACUUGCUACCAGUGAUUGAUGACCUUGUCACAUGACCGCCAGAGUCACUCAGUGUCAUCAGGGGGGCAUAGAGAACCCCACACUGCCCAGCUCUAGUAAAGGGCAAUCCCAUGGGGGGAAGCAUUGAUUAUGUGACUUUCCCCCCAUGACUUCCUAUGGCAACACUGGAAGCAUGCACCAGCUCCACCAUACUUCAUGCACAGAGCCCCACCGGUGUCAUUUGAUGGGAGUUGGCAAACUCCGUGGGUGACCUGGGCUAAACUGGCAUAUGCCACCGAUUUUAGCUCUUGGCGAUGAGAUUGUAAACCUUGGGAGAGGCAUUUAAGACCUUUUUAUUUACAGUUCAUAAAAGGUUGGUUGUCCCUUAUCAAAAAUGCUUAAAAUCAGAAAUGUUCCAUAUUCCAGAUUAUGUGUGGAUUUUGGAAUACUUUCAUAUACAUUAUGAGACAUCUUGGAGAAGGGACUCAUGUCUAAACAUAAAAUCAAUUUAUGAUUCAUAUGCAGCUUGUGCACAAAGUUUGAAGAUAAUUUUAUACACAAAAUUUGAAAUAACAAUGUGCAUGAAACAAAAUUUGUGUACAACAAACUAUCCAAAAGCCAAGGAGCCCUUAUCUCAGGGCCCUUCCAGGCAGGCCUCAACCCUGGAAGGAACCGAGAUAUUUUAUCCCAGUCCCUCCCAGUCUUGAAGUCCUACACCCACCCAAAAUCUUGAACUUUCACAAGGGGAGGUGGCUCCAUGCCCUCCCGGAUCAACCCAGGAGCCCAUUUCCCCAGUCCCCUAUUUUCCCCCAAUGUGAAUGGGCCUGGCUGCAUGCUAAGGCCCCUCUGGUAAAAGCUCCUUGCACAUGAAAAUGAUGUGUUGGAGGGAGGGGAAGGGGAAUUUCUCCCAGAGGGGUCUGAGCAUACAGCCAGCCCCCUCAUG